GUACGAUCGGACGGUUUUGAGAG
rnacentral:miRNA from 1 species